GGGGCUGUGGCGCAGUGGUAGCGCAUCACACUGGCAGUGUGGGGGUCAGGGGUUCGAAUCCCCUCAGCUCCACCG
rnacentral:tRNA from 1 species